GAUGGAGCAGCCCGGUAGCUCGUCAGGCUCAUAACCUGAAGGUCGUAGGUUCAAAUCCUACUCCCGCAACCA
rnacentral:tRNA from 1 species